UCGCUUACACAGUAGUAGACUUCCACAAACUCCAGUUAUCCUGUCAAAAUGCCAGACUAUGAGGCAGCUGUGCCAGCACCUUGCCAGGUCAUCAAAGAGGAUUUGAACAAAUGUGUCAGAGAGAAAGGAGCGGAGAGCUGUAAGGAUCUGAUAGAUGCCUUCCAGGCUUGUAUAAAGACCCUGUCAGAGGGAUCAUGACUCAUGAAGAAAUGGAUCUCAAGAGCCUUCAGCUCCUCAAGGCCCUCCACCUUCCCAGCAUUCCUCUCCUUGCACAUUGCACUGGACUCAACCAUCU